UACAGAGGUCUCAAGCGUUGUUCGGAUUCACUGGGCGUAAAGGGUGCGUAGGCGGCGCGGUAAGUCGGGUGUGAAAUCUCGGAGCUUAACUCCGAAACUGCAUUCGAUACUGCCGUGCUUGAGGACUGGAGAGGAGACUGGAAUUCACGGUGUAGCGGUGAAAUGCGUAGAUAUCGUAAGGAAGACCAGUGGCGAAGGCGGGUCUCUGGACAGUUCCUGACGCUGAGGCACGAAGGUCAGGGGAGCAAACGGG
rnacentral:rRNA from 1 species